GAGCCAGAGGGAAUACGCAUGCGCACCCUGCACUGGCCCCAUGUGGCUGAUAGGAGAGCCAGAGGGAAUACGCAUGCGCACCCUGUGCUGGCUGGUGUGGCUGGGCCUCUUUGCUCAUUCACCUCUGCCUUUGUUUCCUAUGCUUGCAUUUCUCUACCCGCUUUUGGGCUGACUCUAGUCUUUCUCCACACCAGUGCUCAGGCACCUUUGAGUGCUCAUUUCGCUUUGCCUGGACUUUUUCUGAUCUUAUUAAAAUUUUCAAAGACAGGAAACAAAACUACGUCUCAAAUUGAAAAUCACAAAAACUGGCAAAACCUAUCAUCAUGGAUAUUUAUUUGUCCCUUUUUUUCAAAUCUUGAAUUCCUAAAGGUAGAAAUUAUUUUUUUUCCAAAUGAAAAGUCCAUGAGCAUAUAGAUGCAGAGUUAAAAGUAGCUAAUAAGAUGAUUAAGCAAGUUGCCAGUUCCAACAGCAAACAGGCUCUGAGGACUGAAUCUAUAACUGUGAUGUAUACUUGGGGCCCUAUCUGCCUAGAGCCAGAGGAUUAUGUGAGAGGGUGAAACAAGAGAAAAAAAAAUGUGUUUUGCCUUUCCAUUGGAAAUAAAAGGCUAUUAUGAUGAAGAGCCUGGAUUGUGGAUCUCUGUUUCAUUCACUUCAUAUUUCAACUGCAGAAACUACAUUAUUUUAGAGUUCAAGGAAGGGCAAAUGGAGCUCAGAGGCAUUAUGAAACUGGCCAAAGAGAAGAGAAAAAGGAAGUAAAAAGAAGACCAGAUCCAAGUGAAUUGGUCAUAUAUAAUGCAGGAACACACCAAGCAUCUUAUAAAGGAAUGGAGGGGUAUUGUUAUCUGCUUUGUGGAAGUGUUCAAGUGAAUUCCUUGACUACUGAACAACUGUAGUUUAUUUAAAAGUCAUGAAGAAAAAUACUAAUAUUGUAUAUGGUUUACAGAUGUAUAUCCUGAAAUUAUAAUACUGUAAAUUAAACUGUGCAUAAACAUGCUCUGUCUUUAAAUCAAUCCAUUUGGCGAGUGAUUAUAUAUAUUAUUCUAAAUCCCAAGCUACAAUGGAAAAAUAAAAGCCCUUUUUAUGAAUAAAUAUUCCUGAUUACACUAUAAGCC
ensembl:lncRNA